GUGGGGAAUAUUGGACAAUGGGCGAAAGCCUGAUCCAGCCAUGCCGCGUGUGUGAAGAAGGUCUUCGGAUUGUAAAGCACUUUAAGUUGGGAGGAAGGGCAGUAAGUUAAUACCUUGCUGUUUUGACGUUACCGACAGAAUAAGCACCGGCUAACUUCGUGCCAGCAGCCGCGGUAAUACGAAGGGUGCAAGCGUUAAUCGGAAUUACUGGGCGUCAAGCGCGCGUAGGUGGUUUUGUAAGUUGGAGGUGAAAUCCCCGGGCUAAACCUGGGGACUGCCUCCAAAACUGCAUGACUAGAGUACGGUAGAGGGUAGUGGAAUUUCCUGUGUAGCGGUGAAAUGCGUAGAUAUAGGAAGGAACACCAGUGGCGAAGGCGACUACCUGGACUGAUACUGACACUGAGGUGCGAAAGCGUGGGGAGCAAACAGGAUUAGAUACCCCGGUAGUCC
rnacentral:rRNA from 1 species